GUCCAUGCCGUAAACGAUGGGUACUAGUUGGUGCGGGUAUUGACCCCUGCGCUGACGAAGCUAACGCAUUAAGUACCCCGCCUGGGGAGUACGGCCGCAAGGCUAAAACUCAAAGGAAUUGACGGGGGCCCGCACAAGCGGUGGAGCAUGUGGAUUAAUUCGACGCAACGCGAAGAACCUUACCUGGCCUUGACAUCCCGGGAGCCUGCCUGAAAGGGUGGGGUGCUCUUCGGAGAGCCCGGAGACAGGUGCUGCAUGGCUGUCGU
rnacentral:rRNA from 1 species